GCGUAGAUAUAUGGAAGAACACCAGUGGCGAAGGCGGCUGUCUGGUCUGUAACUGACGCUGAGGCUCGAAAGUAUGGGUAGCAAACAGGAUUAGAUACCCUGGUAGUCCAUACCGUAAACGAUGAAUGCUAAGUGUUGGAGGGUUUCCGCCCUUCAGUGCUGCAGCUAACGCAUUAAGCAUUCCGCCUGGGGAGUACGGCCGCAAGGCUGAAACUCAAAGGAAUUGACGGGGGCCCGCACAAGCGGUGGAGCAUGUGGUUUAAUUCGAAGCUACGCGAAGAACCUUACCAGGUCUUGACAUACUAUGCAAAUCUAAGAGAUUAGACGUUCCCUUCGGGGACAUGGAUACAGGUGGUGCAUGGUUGUCGUCAGCUCGUGUCGUGAGAUGUUGGGUUAAGUCCCGCAACGAGCGCAACCCUUAUUAUCAGUUGCCAGCAUUAAGUUGGGCACUCUGGUGAGACUGCCGGUGACAAACCGGAGGAAGGUGGGGAUGACGUCAAAUCAUCAUGCCCCUUAUGACCUGGGCUACACACGUGCUACAAUGGAUGGUACAACGAGUUGCGAACUCGCGAGAGUAAGCUAAUCUCUUAAAGCCAUUCUCAGUUCGGAUUGUAGGCUGCAACUCGCCUACAUGAAGUC
rnacentral:rRNA from 2 species